rnacentral:rRNA from 1 species
CAAAGAUUAACCCAGGCAUGUGUAAGUAUAAAUAAUUUUACUUUGAAACUGCGAAUGGCUCAUUAUAUCAGUUAUAGUUUAUUAGAAAUAUUUUACUACUUGGAUAACCGUAGUAAUUCUAGGGCUAAUACAUGAGUAAAACCUCAACUUCGGAAGAGGUGUGUUUAUUAGUAUGAAAACCAUAUAUCUUCGGAUAUAAUAGUGAGUAAUAAUAACCUUUCAUAUCGUAUGUCGUAAGAUAACGAUAGUUCUUUCAAGUUUCUGCCCUAUCAGCUUUCGAUGGUAGUAUAUGGGACUACCAUGGCAGUAACGGGUAACGAAGAAUUUGGGUUCGAUUUCGGAGAGGGAGCCUGAGAGAUGGCUACCACAUCCAAGGAAGGCAGCAGGCGCGUAAAUUACCCAAUCCUGACAUAGGGAGGUAGUGACAAUAAAUCACAAUGCGGAACUUUUAGUUUUGCAAUUGGAUUGAGAACAAUGUACAAAUGUUAUCGAUAAACAAUUGGAGGGCAAGUCUGGUGCCAGCAGCCGCGGUAAUUCCAGCUCC